rnacentral:lncRNA from 1 species
UCCAUAGCCCUAUGCUGCCCUCACCUGCGCCCCCCCUGCCCAACACCACCCUGACUUGCGCCUCCGUAGCCCAAUGCCACCCUCACCUGCGCCCCCCCUGCCCAACACCACCCUGCCCUGUGCCCCCCUAGCCCAACACCACCCUCCCGUGCGCCUCCGUAGCCCAAUGCCGUCCUCCCCUGCGCCCCCCUAGCCCAACACCACCCUCCCCUGCACCUCCGUAGCCCAACACCACCCUCACCUGCGGCCCCCCUGUCCAACGCCACCCUGCCCUGCGCCUCCGUAGCCCAACACCACCCUACCCUGCGCCUCUCCAGCCCAACAACACCCUACCCUGCGCCUCCGUAGCCCAACACCAUCCUCCCCUGCGGCCCCCCAGCCCAACACCACCCUACCCUGCGCCUCCCUAGCCCAACAUGCCUCCCCUGCACCUCUGUAGCCCAACGCCCCCCUGCCCUGCGCCCCCCUAGCCCAACACCACCCUGCCCUGCGCCUCCCUAGCACAACACUGUCCUCCCCUGCACCUCCGUAGCCCAAUGCCACCCUCACCUGCGCCCCCCCUGCCCAACACCACCCUGCCCUGCGCCUCCAUAGCCCUAUGCUGCGCUCACCUGCGCCCCCCCUG